GCCCUUGUAGCUCAGGGGUAGAGCGUUGCACUUGUAAUGCAAAGGUCCAUGGUUCAAAUCCGUGCGGGGGCA